UGUACCAGCAGAAGCAAGAGUGCUCCUGAGACAUGGCUUGAAGUAAACCCUCUCUAGGACCUAAGGACGCCAAAGCAGAAGCAAAAUGAUUUUGUGUUGGGAUUUUAGCAGAAAAGUAACUCUUGAAAGAAACUAUUCUUGGAUUUUGAUAUUUAUUACAUUUCAAAGUAUCUUGUUGCCUCAGAUCUGAAACUAUGAUCUGAGGUCCACAAAUGGAAUGAGACCAACAGAUUCAGAUCUUCAGCAAUCCUUAACCACAGAUCUCACAGGAUCAUCAGUUUCUGCCAACAGAAAAAGGAGCCAAGAAAAGAAGAGGCAAAGCAAUCUAUUGUCAGACUAUUUAAGAACCUGCCCAGCUUUUCCUGGUAGGCUAUUCACUGAUAUGGUGACUUACAGUUGGCAAAAUCAAAUCAAUGGACCACAUACUCUUAAUUUUUGUAGUAAAAACACCUAAAAUCUACUCAGCAAUUUUCAAGACUAUAAUAUGUUAUUGGCUGGCGUGGUGGUUCAACCCUUUAAUCCCAGCACUAAGGAGGAAGAAGCAGGUGAUUUCUGUGACUUUAAGGCCCACUUGGUCUACAUGACAUGAGAUUCAAAGCUGAACGUGUGGAGAAAAGCGAAGACUCUAGAGACCAGUGAGAGACGUGACUAUUGCUGAGUCUCUAAAUUAGCUAAGUCACAGGCCGCAUGCUAAGAGGAUUUGGGACAAAUCCAGUCUACCAUUUUGUCAAGUUAAAGUGCUGCCAUUAGGCAAGUUCCCUACGGAGGUUUCCUCCUCUCCACAGAAAAAGGAGACCAGACACCAAUGAAAGUAGAAAGCCCAAGUGAUCCAGCCUCUCAGAGUUCUUCUGUUGAGGUUUCCUCAGAGUUCUGCAUCCAGAACAGCUUCAAGGCUGCUGGCUGAGAUGGUCCAGCCUCACAGACUAUUCUAGCCAGGACUGCAGGUUCCCUAAAAAGAUGCCUUUAUCCUAAGACAACAGGAAGCAGUCUAGAGAACACAACACCCACAUUCCCAAGAGGUGGGAUGGAUGGUUUUUGUUCAUUUGUUGGUUUAUGGAUGUUUAUCAUCAUUUAGUGGGGAUAUAGGAAUAUGAGAUAAAAAGAUAACUAUUAACCUCAAA